rnacentral:rRNA from 1 species
AUACAGAGGGUGCAAGCGUUAAUCGGAAUUACUGGGCGUAAAGCGCGCGUAGGCGGUUUAAUCAGUCGGAUGUGAAAGCCCCGGGCUCAACCUGGGAACUGCAUUCGAUACUGUUAAGCUAGAGUAUGGUAGAGGGAAGUGGAAUUCCAGGUGUAGCGGUGAAAUGCGUAGAUAUCUGGAGGAACAUCAGUGGCGAAGGCGACUUCCUGGACCAAUACUGACGCUGAGGUGCGAAAGCGUGGGGAACAAACAGGAUUAGAAACCCUUGUAGUCC